UAAGCGAAGCCGAAGCGAAAGCGAGUCUGAAUAGGGCGCUUAGUCAGUAGUGGUAGACGCGAAACCGUGUGAUCUACCCAUGGGCAGGGUGAAGCUGUGGUAACACACAGUGGAGGACCGAACCCGUUGACGUUGAAAAGUCUUGGGAUGACCUGUGGGUAGGGGUGAAAGGCCAAUCAAACUCGGAAAUAGCUGGUUCUCUCCGAAAUAUAUUUAGGUAUAGCCUCGGAUGGUUACCACUGGAGGUAGAGCACUGAAUGGGUUAGGGGUCUCACCAGAUUACCGACCCCAAUCAAACUCCGAAUGCCAGUGAGUAUAGUCCGGGAGUCAGUCAGGGGGAGAUAACUUCCUUUGACGAGAGGGAAACAACCCAGACCGUCGGCUAAGGUCCCAAAGUUCAUGCUAAGUGGAAAAGGAGGUGGGAGCGCAUUGACAACCAGGAGGUUGGCUUAGAAGCAGCCACCCUUCAAAGAAAGCGUAAUAGCUCACUGGACUAGUGGUUCUGCGCCGAAAAUGUAACGGGGCUUAAGUGACGUACCGAAGCUUUGGAGUAUUUUACUGGUAGAGGAGCAUUGUGUUUGCCGACGAAGGCGUACCGUGAGGAGCGUUGGAGGUUACACAAGAGCUGAUGGUGGCAUAAGUAGCGAUAAGAAUGGUGAGAAUCCAUUCCGCCGAAAACCUAAGGGUUCCUGGGCCAGGUGACUCCGCCCAGGGUAAGUCGGAUCCUAAGUCGAGGCCGAAAGGCGUAGGCGAUGGGCAACAGGUUAAUAUUCCUGUACUUAGUGUUUAACGUUUGACCGAAGGAGUGACGGAGAAGGAUAGCAGGGCCGGGUAUUGGUUGUCCCGGUUUAAGCGAGUAGGGGGACCUGGUAGGCAAAUCCGCCGGGUUGUUAACUCUGAGACGUGAUGACGAGUCUAUGACGAAGUCUGUGAUUCCAUGCUUCCAAGAAAAGCUUCGUAGGGAGUUAGGCAUUAAUCCGUACCGUAAACCGACACAGGUAGGUGAGGAGAGAAUCCUAAGGCGAUUGGGCGAACUCUUGUUAAGGAACUCUGCAAAAUGGUGCCGUAACUUCGGGAUAAGGCACGCCAUUGAGAGUGUAGUCACUUGCUGACGAAGCUUUUGAUGGCCGCAGUGAAAAGGGGGUAGCGACUGUUUAUCAAAAACAUAGGUCUAUGCAAACACGUAAGUGGAAGUAUAGGGUGUGACGCCUGCCCGGUGC
rnacentral:rRNA from 1 species